CCAGUUGCUUUUGACACUGACCUUAGAAGAUUCUAGGCCAUGGCUACUCCCCUUUUAUCCUAAGCUAGGAAAAACCCUGGUGGGUCACCCUACAUUUCUACUGGGAACUGCUCUUUAGGCCAUGGGGGCUUCUACAUUGGGCCUGCCCUUGACACAGCCAGUUGCCUACAGCCCAGACACUAAGAAACAUGCCUAGUUCCUCCUGCCUGCCUCCCUGGAACCCUAUGUCCAUGAUACAGAAGAACUCAAAUUCAGCCUCAGGAGAUUGCCAGGCUGUAAAGCAACCAUGAGGUCACCUUCCCUGGCAGCUUUUCUAGGUCACAUCCAUAUAGUCCUGGAGACAGGCUCCCCAGAAAAAUGCUGAUCUAUAACCCUGGCCCAUGAUCACUGAGUUCUACAAGUACUGAGUGCUCAAUUCUCCUCUUUCAGACAAAUGUAAGAUUUCUCUCUUACACAUAUCUAUUGGUUUACUUAUUAAUAGGCAAGAGAUGUUAUUUUUAGAGGCCCUCAUAAACAUUUGGUUCUCUUGCUCAACAGUACACAGAAUGAAGAGAGAAGAGAGAAUGAAAGGGUGCUGCAAGGGGUGGGAGACAGAGCUCUGAUUCUGAGCUGUGCUGUGGACUUAAUAUCAGAGCCUUAGAGAAGGGCUCCUCUUGCUUUGAUGGGCAGAGUUAUGAAAGGUAUCCAGGGGGAGCAAUGCAAAGGAGCCCCAGCUAUUGGCCUCAAACAAAUCUAUCCAAGUAUAGAAAAGAAUGUGUGGCAGGAGUUUCUUAGGUGGGAAGUGUGUCUCCUUGGAUAGUAUUUUUAUUCUGCAUCUACUUAAGGAAGUGCUGAGAGCCACAGCUGAGUCAGAAUGGCCCCUGGCAUUUUGCCAAUACUAUUGAUUGACAGGCGAGGCAUUACUAUCCGCCUCUGCGGCUACUUUGCAGUUCUCACGCUACUUUGGAGUUCUCCUGGGGAUUCCCGGGGAUUCCUGGAAAGUUCCCAUUGGUUGGGGAAGUGCAGGAGGAGGGAUUUCCAGAGGAUAUUUCCAGCUGCUGGUUCCUGGAGGAGCCUAGUGGCUUCGGGAGUCGGGAGGAGUUCCCAGGAGCGUGUGUGGAGCGUGCUGGUGGAGUUCAGAAAUAAAGUUUGUUCCUGCUUCA
rnacentral:lncRNA from 1 species